UGGGGAAUAUUGCACAAUGGAGGGAACUCUGAUGCAGCGACGCCGCGUGAGUGAUGAAGGAAUUCGUUUCGUAAAACUCUGUUCUAUGGGAAGAAAAGGACUGUACCAUAGAAGAAAGCCCCGGCUAAAUACGUGCCAGCAGUCGCGGUAAUACGUAUGGAGCGAGCGUUGUCCGGAAUUAUUGGGCGUAAAGGGUGCGCAGGCGGCUUUACAAGUUGGAUGUGAAAUAUUGUGGCUCAACCACAAACGUGCAUCCAAAACUGCAAAGCUUGAGUUAAGGCGAGGUAAGUGGAAUUCCUGGGGUAGCGGUGGAAUGCGUAGAUAUCAGGGGGAAUACCGGUGGCGAAGGCGACUUGCUGGACUUAAACUGACGCUCAGGCACGAAAGCGUGGGGAGCAAACAGG
rnacentral:rRNA from 1 species